rnacentral:rRNA from 1 species
ACGUAGGGGGCGAGCGUUAAUCGGAAUUACUGGGCGUAAAGCGAGCGCAGGCGGGGGAAUAAGACAGCCGUGAAAACCACGGGCUUAACCCGUGAAAUGCGGUUGAAACUGUUUUUCUAGAGUGGAGUAGAGGUAGGCGGAAUUCCGAGUGUAGCGGUGAAAUGCGUAGAUAUUCGGAGGAACACCAGUGGCGAAGGCGGCCUACUGGGCUCUAACUGACGCGGAGGCUCGAAAGUGUGGGGAGCAAACAG